AUGCCUGGGCAGGGAAACCGCCCAGAGGCAGGAGUCUCUGUGCGGCCAGUGUCCUCUCACCCAACUUCUCCCUACACCUCUCCCGACCCUCCCGCCCAUGCCGCGAUGAUGACAGAGCCUGGAGCCCAGCAUGGAACGCUCCUCCCACCUCUCUGGUCUCCACCAUGGACCUCGUUACUCCAGGGCACAUCUGGCUCAGGUGUAGACAGAGCAAGUGCAGGGGCACAGCGGGGAUUCCAGCCCCAUGAGAGGCCUCAAAGGAGCCAGCGCAGAUCAGAUGCAAAACCAACUGUGGUCUACAUGGACAAGGAAGCCCUCUGUGUACAACGCCCAUGUGACAAAGCUGAGGAGGAGAUGCACCUGGCUCCAGGUCCUCCCUCCUGCAGCAGGCACAUGACCCAGUUUGGCUCUCACUGUCCAGCGGCUCCCGGAGAAGUGCUGGAUGGAUACAGGGUCUGGUGGGAAAGCUACCAUUGGGGCCUAACGAGGGCACCCGUACCCCAAGUUCUCUCUCUGAGAAGAAGGAAAGGAAACCACCAGUUAAUGUGCGCCAGCCAUGCGUUCUGCACUUGACCAAGGUCAGUUUUUCAGCAUCAUCCCUCACUAGAACUCUGGAAUAGAAGUUGUUCUCUGUUUCACAGAAGAGGAAAUGAGUCCCCAGCAGAGAAGAAAUCCCACCACUAUGGCUGGCCUCAGCCCUGUGGUGUUGGCUGCCUGCUGUCGAGAGCCUCAGCAGGAGGGAGAAGCUCAUUUGCCUGUUUAUGGGAGAGCGCUUUUCUUUCCUGCCUCCCUUCCCAGAGACCCAGCCUCAUCUUUCUGUCUUUAGCGUCCUUGACAAAGCUUGUGCAUUAUUGAGAAAGACCACCAAGCAGGGAACACUGCUCAGCUCACCUGACUUAGGGCCCCAUCGGAGGGAAAGAUGGUCCAAGAAAGCAGCAGCCCUCCCUCCUGGGCUGGGGUCCAGGACAGCCAAUCUCAGUGGAGUGAAAUUGUGGGGUGCCCCAGUCCAAGGGGGAUACCUGCAGCCUUGACAAUUAAAAUUCCAAAAACCCAGACCCCGUGACUUCAAGGGCACCCUGUAGGCCAUGACAGCUCCUGGGUCUGUGUUUCUGCAGCUGCGCAUUGUCCUUCUCUGGAAAGUGAUAAGCUGAGGGGCGCUGGCUUGCAGGGGAGCCAUCUCUGGGAUAAUCAACUUUUCACCACCGAUCCUGUGUGGAGUAUGAAGUUGGGAGCAGCAAGUUAUGUAAAACAAAGUGUGGAUUCUAAAUGGAUUCAAGAGAUGGAUGCAGGGGCAGAGGUCAGGGCCAGGGUGUCAGAGGGCAGCCUCCUAAUCUGCAUGCUGUGAACUCCAGUGAGUCCUCUCUGGGUACUAAUCUCAAGAUGAAAAGCCCAGAUAUGUGGUCAAGCCAGGAAGCCAUCCCUGGCCUGUUCCUCCUGGCCUGGGUUUGCAGCUUGGUGCUGGGCCUGGUACAGGAGUAAGGGGCUAGCCCACCAGUGUAAACACAGACUUUAGGAGGCAUAGGAGCCUGGCAAGGGCCUCCCCUCUUCCCACUUCCAGGCUCACAAUCCCCUGCAGAAAGCACUGAGCACAGAGGGCCAGGCCUGGUGCUCUGCUCCAGCUCCUUCCUGGGAGUGUCUUUCUUUCACAGCUGCUUCUCCACCACCAUUACCUUGACCUCCUGCACCCCAGCUCCAUAACCCUGACUGUAUUAGAACUGCUCCUCUGCAGGACACCACCUCAUUAGUAAACAAACACAUCAAUUUCACCUCCAAAAUGAUAUUGUCUAACUGCAUCACCACAGCCCUAAAUUACUUUGUGCUGUUUCCAAAAGUCAGUAUCACUCUCCAGACACGCACAUUCACACCCCCAAGAAGCAGGUUUGCUAAGGACGCAGGGAAUGUGUUGGGGCCAGGAUAUUACUGCUCAACAGAGAUGUCCCAGCCAUGUGGGGAGAUGCAGAGGCCUCCGCCCCCAAUGGAACAUGUGGGAGGGGCACUGCCCAUCUGACACGGACUCUCUCACUGCCUGGAAAGUGGCUGGUCAUUCAACCUCACCUUCCUGUUACAUUGCACGUGGCCCCUCUCCCACCCUGGACCUCAGUCUCCCCAGGAGCUCUGCCGUAUGUGGGUGUUCUGGUUCCGUCCUGAUUUCUGUGGUCAGUGGAUCACAUUUCCAGUAAUUUACACACAUUCUCUUUCUCUCAUCGGAUGCAUCCAAUGCCUGAAUGUGACUUAACAGUCUUCAGUCUGUAUUCACAGAAAUAAAUUCCCAAGCUUGAGAAUGUUCCUUUUAUUUGCGCAAGUUACUUGAUGUGGGCUCAGAAGUAGGCCACUGUGGUGAGAGGGAGUGUCCCAGGGCCAACAGAAGGUGGCUCACGUGGGUGAAGGCCAGGGAAGCAGAGCCUGAGCGAGGAGCCAACCCCUCUGCCCCUCCCCAGAGUCCAUGCCCAGUGGGCCGUGGGGGACACAGAUCCUGCCAAGGCCCUCGGGCAGGAGCUGUGCGGUUCCAGCCUCUUUACUUUGUGGUUGACAGGCCCGGGCGUCUCUCUCCACCUGUUUUGUCUCCUCUUUGCCCUGUUGGAACCCCAGCCUCUCCAUUUCUGAAAAGAGCAGAGAAAGGACAACAUUGGUGAAUGACAGCAAUAAGAGAAGGUAGCCUUCACCUGCAGAGGAUGAGUGGCCCCAGCCUGGGCCUGCCCAGAGGAGGAGGCCACGGGGACACCGACAAGGGGCUGGUUCGGCAAGAUCAGAACCCUCAGUCUCCAGGAAGCAAGAUGCCAACAGCAUCCGCGGCUGGGAGUCAGUCAUUAGCGUCCCCUCAGACCCCACAUCUGCCCCUCCCAGCUCUUUCCCAUGGCAGCUUCCUGGGAUGACCUUCCUCCAGGCACAGCAGGGGCUGCCAUGGGAGGACAGCAAGUCUACAGGGUGGGCUCCAUGCACCCACCGAGGGGCCUUGCCUCCCUAGCUGUGCCACAGCCAGCUCUACGCCCAUGCUCACCGGCCUGACAGGGACCUGGGAUUUAUUGGCCGUGAGCCUCAGACAUAUUUGAAGGAGAAAAUGUAUUUUGGUUUUCUGCCAACCAUGUAGUCUUUUAUCAAAGAGAAGGCACUGGAAGGCACUUCUCAGAGGGAGGGUUCGGCAGAGCUCCCUGCCCUGAGGUGGAGUCGCUGACCCCUUCCACUUCCCAGUUCUGCUGCUGUAGCUCCUGAGGCUGGCUGAAGGCUGAUGGCCCAUUGCAAGGUGUGUGUGGCUGCUGUCCUUGUAUUUUUAAAAAGUCACUCAAGCCUGACAGCUGGGGAUGGGUAGGCAGCCAGUGGUAAGACCUGCCCAGGGCUCUAUCUCCAGCUGCCUGUCCCACCCAUGUCCCCCGCCCAUCAGCUCACAUAGACACACAGCAAGGAGUGGAGUGUGUUCCUAGAAGCAGCCCCCUUGGAAGAGGGGUCCCCUGCUCCUGAGAACUCCAAGGCAUUCCGCUCCCACCCUUCACAGGGCACAGGUGGCUGCUCGCGGACCUGAUGGUGCUUGGUAUCCUGUCCUGAAACCAUGGCCGCUCACUCAUCUAUAACCGGGUUACAGUCUAUCAGUUUAAAAUAAAAAAACUCAAAAUAAUAAUGACGUAUUAUACUGGCCUUGGCUCCACUGCACCCACCAGUUCAGCAUCACAGGGUGGGCUGUGCAUGCCAUGGGCUGCCGGAGACCAGGAGGCCACCUGAAAUGCAGUGUGACCAUCAGGCCACCUCCGCCCCUGGGACCCCAGUGUUGGGCCACGCUCUCACUGUAGGGUGAAGUGUUUCUGCACGUUUCUUUGUCCUCCAUCCAUCCAGAUCUCAGCAGGACCUCCUGCCCAUCCUCCGUGUGAUUCAAAGUCCCCGGAUGCACUCCAUGCAGCAGCGAGGUGGUUCUUCCAUAAAC
rnacentral:lncRNA from 1 species